rnacentral:rRNA from 1 species
AGUGAACGCUGGCGGUAGGCCUAACACAUGCAAGUCGAACGGCAGCACAGUAAGAUCUUGCUCUUACGGGUGGCGAGUGUCGGACGGGUGCGGAAUACAUCGGAAUCUACUUUUUCGUGGGGGAUAACGUAGGGAAACUUACUCUAAUACCGCAUACGACCUACGGGUGAAAUCAGGUGAUCUUCUGACCUUGCGCGAUUUAAUGAGCCGAUUUCGGAUUAGCUAGUUGGCUGGGUAAUUGCCCACCAAGGCGACGAUCCGUAGCUGGUCUGAGAGGAUGAUCAGCGACACUGGAAAUGAGAAACGGUACAGAAUACGACGGGAGGAAGCAGUGGGGAAUAUUGGACAAUGGGCGAAAGCCUGAUCCAGCAAUACCGCGUGGGUGAAGAAGGACUUCGGGUUGUAAAGCCCUUUUGUUGGGAAAGAAAAGAAGCAGGUUAAUACCACGAUGUUAUGACGGUACCAAAAGAAUAAGCACCGGCUAACUUCGUG